CUUUUAAAAGAAAACAUAAAAAAAGUAAAAAUGUUUUACUCAACAUGUUUGGCUUUUUUUGUUCUUGUCAUAUAUUCGUCCCAUGCUAGUUCCAUUUGUUCUGAUGGCGCCACCUAUAUUCCACACGAAGACUGUACAAAAUUUUACCAAUGUUCUAAUGGUAGACCGUAUACCUUUGACUGCCCAGCUGGACUGUAUUUUAAUCCUGGAAUUUUUGUUUGCGACUGGCCGGAGCAUUCUGGAUGUGAAGGAGUGAGAAACUAAACGCAAUUGUCAACUGUGUAUUGUUUAUAUUUAUUUGCUUGUUGAAUAAUUAAUGUACCGACAAAAUAAAUUAUUUUGAGAAGUUAA